GUACACUCCUGCGGGAGGCAGCAGUGAGGAAUAUUGGACAAUGGGUGGAAGCCUGAUCCAGCCAUCCCGCGUGCAGGAAGACGGCCCUAUGGGUUGUAAACUGCUUUUAUCUGGGGAUAAACCUACUUACGUGUAAGUAGCUGAAGGUACCAGAAGAAUAAGCACCGGCUAACUCCGUGCCAGCAGCCGCGGUAAUACGGAGGGUGCAAGCGUUAUCCGGAUUUAUUGGGUUUAAAGGGUCCGUAGGCGGACUGAUAAGUCAGUGGUGAAAUCCGACAGCUUAACUGUCGAACUGCCAUUGAUACUGUUAGUCUUGAGUAAGGUUGAAGUGGCUGGAAUAAGUAGUGUAGCGGUGAAAUGCAUAGAUAUUACUUAGAACACCAAUUGCGAAGGCAGGUCACUAAGUCUUAACUGACGCUGAUGGACGAAAGCGUGGGGAGCGAACAGGAUUAGAAACCCUUGUAGUCC
rnacentral:rRNA from 1 species